rnacentral:rRNA from 1 species
CCUACGGGGGGCAGCAGUGGGGAAUAUUGGGCAAUGGGCGCAAGCCUGACCCAGCAACGCCGCGUGAAGGAAGAAGGCUUUCGGGUUGUAAACUUCUUUUGUCAGGGAAGAGUAGAAGACGGUACCUGACGAAUAAGCCACGGCUAACUACGUGCCAGCAGCCGCGGUAAUACGUAGGUGGCCAGCGUUGUCCGGAUUUACUGGGUGUAAAGGGCGUGUAGCCGGGUGUACAAGUCAGAUGUGAAUUCCUGCGGCUUAACCGCAGAACUGCAUUUGAAACUGUUGAUCUUGAGUACUGGAGAGGCAGACGGAAUUCCUAGUGUAGCGGUGAAAUGCGUAGAUAUUAGGAGGAACACCAGUGGCGAAGGCGGUCUGCUGGACAGCAACUGACGGUGAGGCGCGAAAGCGUGGGGAGCAAACAGGAUUAGAUACCCCUGUAGUC